GACGAACGCUGGCGGCGUGCUUAACACAUGCAAGUCGAACGGAAAGGCCCUGCUUUUGUGGGGUGCUCGAGUGGCGAACGGGUGAGUAACACGUGAGUAACCUGCCCUUGACUUUGGGAUAACUUCAGGAAACUGGGGCUAAUACCGGAUAGGAGCUCCUGCUGCAUGGUGGGGGUUGGAAAGUUUCGGCGGUUGGGGAUGGACUCGCGGCUUAUCAGCUUGUUGGUGGGGUAGUGGUUUACCAAGGCUUUGACGGGUAGCCGGCCUGAGAGGGUGACCGGCCACAAUGGGACUGAGAUACGGCCCAGACUCCUACGGGAGGCAGCAGUGGGGAAUAUUGCACAAUGGGCGGAAGCCUGAUGCAGCAACGCCGCGUGCGGGAUGACGGCCUUCGGGUUGUAAACCGCUUUCGCCUGUGACGAAGCGUGAGUGACGGUAAUGGGUAAAGAAGCACCGGCUAACUACGUG
rnacentral:rRNA from 1 species